rnacentral:rRNA from 1 species
CAAAGGACGACAUUAGACGAAUCAUCUGGAAAGAUGAAUCAAAGAAGGUAAUAAUCCUGUAGUCGAAAAUGUUGUCUCUCUUGAGUGGAUCCUGAGUACGACGGAGCACGUGAAAUUCCGUCGGAAUCUGGGAGGACCAUCUCCUAAGGCUAAAUACUCUCUAGUGACCGAUAGUGAACCAGUACCGUGAGGGAAAGGUGAAAAGCACCCCGGAAGGGGAGUGAAAUAGAACCUGAAACCGUGUGCUUACAAGUAGUCAGAGCCCGUUAAUGGGUGAUGGCGUGCCUUUUGUAGAAUGAACCGGCGAGUUACGAUUUGAUGCAAGGUUAAGCAGUAAAUGUGGAGCCGUAGCGAAAGCGAGUCUGAAUAGGGCGUUUAGUAUUUGGUCGUAGACCCGAAACCAGGUGAUCUACCCUUGGUCAGGUUGAAGUUCAGGUAACACUGAAUGGAGGACCGAACCGACUUACGUUGAAAAGUGAGCGGAUGAACUGAGGGUAGCGGAGAAAUUCCAAUCGAACCUGGAGAUAGCUGGUUCUCUCCGAAAUAGCUUUAGGGCUAGCCUCAAGUGAUGAUUAUUGGAGGUAGAGCACUGUUUGGACGAGGGGCCCCUCUCGGGUUACCGAAUUCAGACAAACUCCGAAUGCCAAUUAAUUUAACUUGGGAGUCAGAACAUGGGUGAUAAGGUCCGUGUUCGAAAGGGAAACAGCCCAGACCACCAGCUAAGGUCCCAAAAUAUAUGUUAAGUGGAAAAGGAUGUGGCGUUGCCCAGACAACUAGGAUGUUGGCUUAGAAGCAGCCAUCAUUUAAAGAGUGCGUAAUAGCUCACUAGUCGAGUGACACUGCGCCGAAAAUGUACCGGGGCUAAACAUAUUACCGAAGCUGUGGAUUGUCCUUUGGACAAUGGUAGGAGAGCGUUCUAAGGGCGUUGAAGCAUGAUCGUAAGGACAUGUGGAGCGCUUAGAAGUGAGAAUGCCGGUGUGAGUAGCGAAAGACGGGUGAGAAUCCCGUCCACCGAUUGACUAAGGUUUCCAGAGGAAGGCUCGUCCGCUCUGGGUUAGUCGGGUCCUAAGCUGAGGCCGACAGGCGUAGGCGAUGGAUAACAGGUUGAUAUUCCUGUACCACCUAUAAUCGUUUUAAUCGAUGGGGGGACGCAGUAGGAUAGGCGAAGCGUGCGAUUGGAUUGCACGUCUAAGCAGUAAGGCUGAGUAUUAGGCAAAUCCGGUACUCGUUAAGGCUGAGCUGUGAUGGGGAGAAGACAUUGUGUCUUCGAGUCGUUGAUUUCACACUGCCGAGAAAAGCCUCUAGAUAGAAAAUAGGUGCCCGUACCGCAAACCGACACAGGUAGUCAAGAUGAGAAUUCUAAGGUGAGCGAGCGAACUCUCGUUAAGGAACUCGGCAAAAUGACCCCGUAACUUCGGGAGAAGGGGUGCUCUUUAGGGUUAACGCCCAGAAGAGCCGCAGUGAAUAGGCCCAAGCGACUGUUUAUCAAAAACACAGGUCUCUGCUAAACCGUAAGGUGAUGUAUAGGGGCUGACGCCUGCCCGGUGCUGGAAGGUUAAGAGGAGUGGUUAGCUUCUGCGAAGCUACGAAUCGAAGCCCCAGUAAACGGCGGCCGUAACUAUAACGGUCCUAAGGUAGCGAAAUUCCUUGUCGGGUAAGUUCCGACCCGCACGAAAGGCGUAACGAUUUGGGCACUGUCUCAACGAGAGACUCGGUGAAAUCAUAGUACCUGUGAAGAUGCAGGUUACCCGCGACAGGACGGAAAGACCCCGUGGAGCUUUACUGUAGCCUGAUAUUGAAAUUCGGCACAGCUUGUACAGGAUAGGUAGGAGCCUUUGAAACGUGAGCGCUAGCUUACGUGGAGGCGCUGGUGGGAUACUACCCUAGCUGUGUUGGCUUUCUAACCCGCACCACUUA